ACACAAUCUUUCACCUUGAUUCAGCUCGAUCAACAAAGAAGUACCUCGUGAUGUCUGUACUACAAAAUAUUAUGAAGAAGAUACAUGGUCGUGCUCCACGGGGUCCUACAUGGAAAUCACCUAUGUGCCCACAACAAGAUAAUGGAGUUGAUUGUGGAUUAUACGUGAUGAGAUUCAUGCUUGACAUAGCGACUCAUUGUACCAACACCAUACAUCUUGAUGAGUUUUGCAAGGUGCAAAAGGGAGAU